GGCAGAAUUCUAGCAGGGCUCUCCUGCUAUUCAGAAAGUUACAACUGUGCCCUCUCCAGCAAAGUCUGGAUCUCAGCCAGCCCUAAGAGUGUGUCUGUGUCUUGGAGGAGCUCUUUUUGAGAUGCUGUAUCUCAGCCCUAGGGAUUAUUGAACCCUAUUAUGGCAGACACUAUUCUAGUUGCUGGGAAUACAGCUGUGGAUGGGCAAGGCAAGGUCCCUGUUCUUAUGGAGCUAGCACUGAGGUGCAAGCCCAGAGGCAGUCUAUACCCCAACUCAACUGGCUGGUCCUCAAUGCUGCCUGCUUCCGUGCCCAACUUAGAACUACACAUCUGCUGCCUCUUGGUAACAUGUCAUUAUAAGGCUUCUUCAUCAGCCCUAACCCUGCCAACCACUCCUGCCUCACUGAAUGUGCCAACGGAUUGCUCAGCUCCAACCAAGGAAAAGAAGAAGGAAGUUGGAUACUUUAUACCCUCUACAUUGUCCAUUAGCAACACAACCUAGAGCUAGGAUGGAGAAAGAAAAUGCCAAAAUGCUAAUGAAAAAUGUUCAGAUGUAUCACAUAUUAAGCAUACAUGAUCUCAAAUAUUUUGCCUGAUUUAUGCUAUGCAUGCUAUUUUCCAUGUUGUGUAGGCUCUGAUGCUAGUCUACAUUUACAGAAAUCUCCAUCAGCUGUACAAAUGGCAAUUUAAAUACAUUUAACUAUGUGCUAAUAAUCUCAUAAUACAAUUUAUCAUGUAUGAUUGGCAGAAGAAAUUAUUUGGGGCAAAAGCUAUGAUUGUAUUGUUGUAAGUUAUUAUGAAUGCUGGGCAGUGUAGGGCAUGGCACUUGCUACCACCUCCCAGAAAUGUGUAAGGGCUGUUGAAGGUGCCUUGUUCUUCUUUCUUCUUCAAUAUAAGCAAAGCUAUUUAUAUCAUAAAGCUGAAACUUGAAA
ensembl:lncRNA LNCARSR lncRNA regulator of Akt signaling associated with HCC and RCC